UCUUCCCUCUUUCUUCGUGCCUAAUACAUGCAAGUCGAACGGACGGACGAUAAGCUUGCUUUUCUGAUGUUAGCGGCGGGCGGGUGAGUAACACGUGGAUAACCUUCAUCUAAUACUUGGAUAAAUUCGUGAAAACGGAGCUACUAAUGCAUAAUAUUUUUAACCGCAUGGUUCAAGAGUGAAUGACGGUUUUCGUGUCUAUUAUAGAUGGAUCCGCGCUGUCUUAGCUAGUUGGUAAGGUAACGGCUUACCAAGGCCACGAUGCAUAGCCGACCUGAGAGGGUGAUCGGCCACACUGGAACUGAGACACGGUCCAGACUCCUACGGGAGGCAGCAGUGGGGAAUCUUCCACAAUGGGCGAAAGCCUGACGGAGCAACGCCGCGUGAGUGAUGAAGGUCUUCGGAUCGUAAAACUCUGUUAUUGGGGAAGAACAUAUGUGUAAGAAACUGUGCACAUCUUGACGGUACCUAAUCAGAAAGCCACGGCUAACUACGUG
rnacentral:rRNA from 1 species